rnacentral:rRNA from 1 species
UUCCAGUCUCCCCUACCGCACUCAAGCCCGCCCGUACCCGGCGCGGAUCCACCGUUAAGCGAUGGACUUUCACACCGGACGCGACGAACCGCCUACGAGCCCUUUACGCCCAAUAAUUCCGGAUAACGCUUGCACCCUACGUAUUACCGCGGCUGCUGGCACGUAGUUAGCCGGUGCUUAUUCAACGGGUAAACUCACUCUCGCUUGCUCCCCGAUAAAAGAGGUUUACAACCCGAAGGCCUCCAUCCCUCACGCGGCGUCGCUGCAUCAGGCUUGCGCCCAUUGUGCAAUAUUCCCCACUGCUGCCUCCCGUAGGAGUCUGGGCCGUAUCUCAGUCCCAAUGUGGCCGGUCGCCCUCUCAGGCCGGCUACCCGUCGAAGCCACGGUGGGCCGUUACCCCGCCGUCAAGCUGAUAGGACGCGACCCCAUCCCAUACCGCGAAAGCUUUCCCAGAAGACCAUGCGAUCAACUGGAG